UAAAAAAGGCACGACCGUGCACCACUUCCGGUCUCAUGUCACCGACUUUCUGGACAUCCGACGCCUGGAUCCGACGGCGAUAGGAAUCCAUCCAUCAACACCAUGCUAUUAGCUGACCGGUGAAGGUGGACUCUAUCUAGCAAUGUUCCUGCGUCACAGCUUUGAGUGAUCUGUGUUAAGAGUCCUAGAGCUUUAAUCGCAUCUGUGUGAUAGUUGAUGUAGGAGUUGAACACCAUGUGGAAAUAUCUGCGCUAUGUUCGUGGAAAACUGGACAGGAGUAAAAACUCUGUAUGGGGUAGAAAGGCUUCCAUUGGGUAUGCACUAGGAACAUGGACACUUCUAGGAAUAUUCUUUAUCAAGUGGAAACAGAAUCACUUUGAGCUACCACAAUUACCAGCUAUGCCAGAGGAGGAGAAAGCGGAGCUUAUAGCACAGCUGAGAUUAGAGCAGAAAAAGAAAAGUGAAGAAAUCUCUCUCCAUGUUGCAGAGAAUGUCUACACACCACUUGAUUUUAUGUCAUGAUGACUUCUGCUACCUUUUAGGUACCUCAAAUUAAUAAAGCUCCCAACUUUAAAUGGCCAAUGGGGCUCUUUUCUUUGUUUUUGUUUAUUUUAUGACAUGAUAAAAAGAUUCAUGCUUUUGCUGUGAUAGCAAUCACAUCUUAUCUGAAGGGGAUUUUAAGAUUGUAUGCUGGUACAUACACAAGUUCUGAUCCGAGAAUACUACUUUAGUUUCUUACCAUAAGCCUUUAAUACACAUGUAGUAAAAGUUUUUAAGCAAGUACCACUGAGCAAUUCACAAGGUAUUUAGUUUGUUUGUUGAAUUUGUUCAGAUUAAUAAUCCUCUGUACUAAGAUGAACUAUAUAUUCUUCCCAAUUAUGGGAAGUUUUCUGAGUAUCUCCAUUAAACCAAAGAGGAAUGGUAAAAUUGUUAAAGAAUUGCUUCAUAUUCCUCCAAUCUUAAGAUACAUACAUUUUAUUAGUUGUAUAAUAACCAGUUUUUGUGCUGAAAUAUUAUUUAGAUGACUUUGUGAAUAAACUGUGUUAGUAGUUUAUCAAUUAAUCCUGUCGGUGUGUAAAUAUGUUGUAGUUGGCUAUGGACUUACCAUGGCUUGUGCCACCAUUGUGAAUUAACCUAGAUCGAUAUAUCAAGAAUCCCAUUCCCUUUCUUGACAGGAGUCGAUAUUGACAUAUUAAUGUAGUUAGGGGAAUUCCCUUUCAAAGUAAGAAAUUAAUACAGCAGGGCUCCACAAUAAUCUUUUUGGUUGUGAGUCUGGAUUAAAGUUUUUACAGCCUUUACACUACUGACUCAAAAAAAGUUGAAUUCUGAGAUAAGUUUUAAAGGUUACAUGUAGCUGUUGUUUAAGGGCUACAAAAAAAGUCCAUGAAAUGAUGAAAUAUUACUUUUAUAUUAUUCAAACCAGGAGCUGUUUUCAAAUCUUGAAUUACCAAUUCAUCCCAAAAUGUCUUCUGAAAAUUCUCCUAGGGAUAUCUACCUAAUUACCAUGUGCAUAAUUGAUGUGUUAAUGCAUUAAUGCCAUAAGGAUUACUUGUAGGUCAAAAGAGGGACUUUAAAUCACUGGAGUCGUCUUGGUUGAACAUGUCUAUCAGCUGCUGAUUAAUUUCUGCCUGGACAGAAACAUGAUGAGCUGAAAUCCUUUGUGACUUGUCAGACUUGGAUGCACCAUACACAGCCCAACCCAACAAUGUUCUAAAUGCAAAUGGACCAUCGGGCUCACUGUGAAUAACUUCCAGCGGUUCUGACGCUUUUGGGAUAUUAUUUCUGAUUAAUAUGCCCACAUCCUCGUCAAUCUCUGGCAACUGAAUAUGGUGGAGGUACGGAUACUGCUUCAAUUGAGCUUGAGUGGGAGUUUCUUCUUUCCCGACUGGAAUAGACUUGGCUUCCAAAUUUCUGCAAGUCUCCAAAUCAUGCGAUGACACCUUGCAGUAAAGACAGUAUUUGCCAGUUGACCUUUCUUGCCUUUGACUGGAAAUGUUUAUAGAAAAGCCUUGCCUUUCAUUCCUUGGUUUCUAGGUUGGCUUACAUUGGAAUCAUAUGUGUUGUGUCAGUUCUUCUUUGUGGCCCUUUGAUAAUGUCCCCCGUACACAGGGUUAGAUACUACACAAGCUUCCUUGGCCACAAACGUCACAACAUCAACAAACUGAAUACACUUUCCCUUUUCUUCCUGGAUGUAGUCAGCAGUAAGAGGUCAUUUCUCCUUUAGGCGAUACAGCAACUUGGAGAUGACCAUCUUGAUAUUGUUGGAAUGAUCUAUUUCAUUGCACUGUUUCAAAUCCUUGGCAGUGUUCAGCAACUCUGUCAAGCAGUGUGAAAGGUUAUUGAGCUUCCCUGCAUCAUCUGUCUUUAUUUCUGACCACUCCUCCAUGCGCUUGAUUAUGACAUUCUUGAUCCUAUAUCUGUUGCCAUUAUUCUUCUGAAGUACAUCCUUGUCCUGCCUGUACCAUUGUAUUAGCUUCACCUCUGGUGAAUCGUUUUAAGUAACACAACCUGUCUCUGGGAUUGGUUUAAUGAAUUGAUCUUUAUUUCAUUCAUCAUAAAACAUCAUAAAAAAACAUAUAAGAUACAAAACAUAGCGUACAAGUUAAAGAGACACAUUUACAAUAGAAUACAACAACAAAAAUGUCAUAUGAAUGUGGAGACAGCUAGGAAAGCCAAAGGUAUUGUAACGGGUCUCCAUUGAAUGGUGACAAAGUUCUUUGAGGUAAUGAUGCUCUCUGGUGGCACUCCACAAGAACCUUGGUGAGGUCAUUUUGUCUUUGUAUCACAUCAGUUUGUUACAUUAAAUAUGCUGAUAGGUCAAACACGGACCGAUUCUCAUCUAGUGCAUUAUCAGCAUGUUGGUUUGUUCUCUCAAGGGGUACAGAGGAAGGAGAAAUGCUUUUGUUCUUUGCCCUCUCCACUGCUCUUUCAAUUAACUCUGCUCAUUUUAUGUGUACACAUACCUAUGCCAUCCCUCGGCUCGAUCUUGAUCAACGCGAUUGUCAUCACACAUGUUACACAUAGCACAAAAAUGAUUCAACCUGAACAUGUCCCAUCGUUUCCAUUAUAGUUGUAAUACCGGUAAUCACUUCCGAUUAACAUAUUGAAGAGAUAAUUAAAAGAGGUCAUGAAGAUGGAGUUUACUUUAUGCCUUUUAUGGAGCUUAUGAAGGUUGAAAAUUGGUAGGCCUUCCUAAAUUCUUCCAACAACUACAAAUUUGUCUCCCUAGCUCACUGUUUUCUUCUUAUCUCCUGCAGAGGGCCUUAAAUGCAAUUUCUGCCAAUAACAAUACACAUUACCAUAUUCCUCUCAACUGUGCCAGAACAGUCUGGUUGUCAUUGUAAUUAACUUAACUGAGCUUUCAGAAUACCUAUCAGCUAAUGGAUUUCUGAGAUUACAAUUCUUGAUUUUAUCAUUAAAACUUGUUUUUGAAUAAAGUUUUAGUUCAGUACAGCAGAGUUAUGCAUGAUUUAUUAAUUUGCCAACGGCAUGAUUCCAUCUUUGAUGGGUUGUCUGAUAAGCAUAGGAUACGGGAAGGUUAAUAAAACACUGUAAAAUAGCGAUGAUGUAAGUUUGGAGUGUUUCACUUGCCUCCAGUUAAAUAUUUAAAACUGAAUAAUUGUAAUACCAUAUUGUGAACAUGAAAAAUCUGAAAUGCAAUUUGAAUAAUGAAAAUAUA